rnacentral:rRNA from 1 species
UUUAUCGGAGAGUUUGAUCCUGGCUCAGGACGAACGCUGGCGGCGUGCCUAAUACAUGCAAGUCGAGCGGACAGAUGGGAGCUUGCUCCCUGAUGUUAGCGGCGGACGGGUGAGUAACACGUGGGUAACCUGCCUGUAAG